AUGGGGUGUCACCCCCCAACUUUGGGGUGGGGGGGUAAUUAACGAGGAAGGGUUAAUGAAUGGGGAUGGAGAAGGGCAAAAGGAAGGAACCCACCGCCCUCAAGGGAACCCCAAAGCAGAAGGCAUCCCUGGGGGGUGUCUGCCCCACAGCUAUGGGGCGUCUAUGGGGUGUCUGCCCCACAGCUAUGGGGCGUCUAUGGGGCAUCCAUGGGGCGGCUACGAGGCACCUAUGGGGCAGGCAUCCAUGGGGCACCUAUAGGGCAUCUAUGGCCCGGCUAAGGGUCAUCUAUGGGGCAUCUAUAGGGCACCUAUGGCAUGGCUAUGGGGCAUCCAUAGGGCGGCCAUGGGGCAUCCAUGGGGCAUCCAUGGGGCGGCCAUGGGGUGGCCAUGGGGCAUCCAUGGGGCGGCCAUGGGACGGCUAUGGGGCAUGCCAUUCCAAGCCAUGGGGCAUCCAUGUGGUAUCUAUGGGGCGGCCAUGGGGCAUCCAUGGGGCGGCCAUGGGGCAUCCAUGGGGCAUCCAUGGGGUGGCUAUGGGGUGGCUAUGGGGCGGCCAUGGGGCAUCCAUGGGGUGGCUAUGGGGCGGCUAUGGGGCAGCUAUGGGGCAUCCAUGGGGCAUCCAUGGGGCAUCCAUGGGGCGGCUAUGGGGCAUCCAUGGGGCAUCCAUGGGGCAUCCAUGGGGCAUCCAUGGGGC
rnacentral:lncRNA from 1 species